rnacentral:tRNA from 1 species
CAGGAUAGCUCAGUUUGGAUAGAGCGGAUGGCUACGAUCCAUCAGGUCGCGGGUUCGAAUCCCGUUCCUAACCA